AUUCUGCCCUCAUUUGUUUUAACCUAAAAAUCUCUCUUCACCCAUCUGACGCCGAAAACCGCCUCAUCUCUCUCGACUCCGACUCCGAUUCCGACUACAACUCCGAUGGCGGCGGCAACUCUGACUCUGACGGUGACGGUGACUCCGACUCCGACUCCGACUCAUCUCUAUCUCGACGGCGACUCAUCUCUCUCGCGACGGCGACGUGAGAGAUCUGCCUAUGGUUUUACUAAGAUCAUACUAUGACUUCCCACAUUGCCACUGUUCUUCAUCGGUUUUGUUCGGAUUGUUAAUGGAAGAGCUUUGGAGGAACUCAGAAGUUCUUUAUACAAUGAGCUUAAAACAUCAGAAGAAGCUAAACGGCAACAACAGAGAUUUUGUGGCCCUGUUGUUGCUAUGUCCUUCAAUUUCAUUGUUGAUGUUGGAAUCAUCCUCGCCAAUAAACUAGUGAUGGGAAGAGUUGGAUUCAAUUUUCCAAUUUUUCUAACACUGAUCCACUAUAGUCGCUUGGAUUCUUCUAGCUUUCUUCAAGUCCCUCUCUUUGCUUCCAUUAAAGACAACACCUUUCUCCUCUCUCUUCUCUCUCGGAGCUGUCAUGGCCUUUGCUUCUGGACUCGCUAAUACCAGUCUCAAACAUAACAGAGAAGAUGUAAAUUUAUGGUGACAGGUGAAUCUCAGUUUGAUGUUGGAACACAUGAGACUAUAGCCAAUGGAGGAGAGAUGCACAAUGUUGAAAAUCUCUUUCACUCCAAGAGACUUUGACUUGUAAAUGUUGUGACUUUAUUGCAGUGACUCAUACUCUCUCAGAUUCUUCUGCUGCACUUUACGAUGUAGCUUCUUCUUUAAAGCUUUUCGUAAAUCUGCAACUGAAUUUGAAACAAUAGAUUGAUGGCUGAUCAGCAAUUGAGAUAUGAUUAUAGGUUAAGAGACUUUCUAUAUCUUGAGAGUUGUAAACAUAAUUGUCACAUCUUUGCAUAUAUAAUGGCACGACAAGCUUUUUUU